CGCCGCGCCGGCGCAACAGCAGCUGCGUGAUCGUCAUGGUUACCGGUUUCGCGCCUUCCUGGCCGGCUACACUCUCUACUCGUCUCAGGACAGUAGAAUCGAACUCCUUAGCAGCAGCUGCUGCGCAUACUCCUCAUCGGAAGAGUUUGCACGAGCAGUUUUUCGGUCUUGGUCAGAGAAGGUGGAAGCACUUUAUUCUGCUUCCGUUUGUAGACGGUCAGUUUUGUCCUAAACCCUUUUUCCUGUCCAGGCAAUGUGCUCAGUCCGUUCUUGACGAGUCCCUAUGGCGAAGUGACAAAAGAUUCCAAGUUAUAGUGAGUUUCCAGACCGCGUAGGGCAAAACGAAACAAAGAGUUUAUUCUUGAAUCUCCAGAGAACCCCUUGUCUGCUUACCGCCAGUAGUUCUUUGUUGCCCCUGCCCAUGACCGGUAGUGAUGAGUAGAUCCAGUAAAUUAUUUCAAGCAGUUGAUCCGAGGAGCUCCAAGUUGCGAUAAAGACGGACUUGAUUGCAAUACUCGAUACCAUCAUGUGAACUUUCGUCCUUUUCAGCAGUAGCUUGUGUAGCCAUUUUGGCAGUAUGUUGCGCAAGAAAGCAGUAAUCGCCGGCUAUUUCUCCGUGACUUCAGCCAGGUGUCGGACACGGAAACUGCACACAUCGCGAGGUUCGAUGGCCGGUGGUUUGAGCAACAUGUUCUCCGCGUUACACUUCGCAGAGCAGAGCUGAUUGCCGAGCCAGAAGUAAGUUUUGGCAAGGUGCUGAGAAGGACCAUCAGAUGGCGACAAGAAGCGGGGAAUCGUCUGCAACGACAUCCAUCAGCGCUGCUCAGCGUGUGCUCUGGGAAUGGCCGUUCUGGGAAGACGCAUCAGAUGCAUGCAGAGACAAGUCAAGUCGGACGCACCUGUUUCGCCACAAAACCUGACCAGGGAAGUGGUAUGACUGUUUUUGUGUGUG